GGAAUAUAAAUUAAAUAUAAUUUUUUAAUUUUUGUUUUUACAUUAUUUAUAUUGCUCUAAACAAUGUAAAAACUAUUUUUUUCCUAAAAAAUUUUUUUCCUCAGGUCUUAAGAGGUUAAAACUACGCUUACCCUUUCAAUUCACAUUUGCUAUACCCCCACUCUCCAAGUCAAGAUGUCUUUGGCCACCAAACAACACUCUAUUCUUUAACUAAAUGUGUCAGACCUUUGAUGAGUCAUAAGCCAACAUCAAAGUUCCAUAUAUGUCAUGCACCUACCUUUUAUCUAACUUUUCGACCCACAGCAUCAUCUUGUUCACUUGAGACUUCAAAAUUGUUACAAAGCCAACCCCUGCCCACUCCGACAACUCCUCCCAAGUCUUUGACUCUGACUCUUCCCUUUAUAAUCCCCACUACAUCUAUAUGUUAAAAGCUACAUUCCUCACCACUGAACUACUGUCUUAAACUCUCCUGCCCAUACAUCAGUUCCAAACAAAUUGCAUCUAUGGAUCUACAAGGACACACAUCCAACGCAAAUUUAACAACUACUAUCUCCAAAAGAUCCUUUAUCAUACCCCAAGGACUGCACAUCUGCUUCCUCACAGACUCAAUAUGUCGAGAUAUUAAAGACUACAUGCCAAAUGCACAAUGCUGGGU
ensembl:lncRNA